UGAUCAAAGAUACUGGAAUGUUCUCUGGUCGAAAAUCACGGUGCCCAAGGAUGGGUCUGCGGCCUAUCAGGUAGUAGUGGGUGUAACGUACCUACUAGCCAGCGACGGGUAAGGGUUGUGAGAGCAAGAGCCCUGAGAUGGAUUCUGAGACAUGAAUCCAGGCCCUACGGGGUGCAGCAGGCGCGAAAACUUUACACUGCGGGAAACCGCGAUAAGGGGACCCCGAGUGCCAGCACCUAGUGCUGGCUGUCCAGCUGUCCAAAUAACAGUUGUUAGCAAGGGCCGGGCAAGACCGGUGCCAGCCGCCGCGGUAACACCGGCGGCCCGAGUGGUAGCCGUUAUUAUUGGGUUUAAAGGGUCCGUAGCCGGCCUAUUAAGUCUCUUGGGAAAUCUGGCGGCUCAAUCGUCAGGCGUUCA
rnacentral:rRNA from 1 species